AUGGCGAGAAAACCGCCAGCUCAGAAAGCCACUGUCGCAGGAGCCCGACCUCUCGCGCAAACAGCGCCAGACGCGCGCUGCAGGAGCGCGGAGCAUGGCGCGGCAUGGGCAGCCUUGGAGCCGGCUGGACCUGCAGCAGGAGCGCGACUUGCCAGAGCUCGUCUGGAGUGUCGCUGGCCUCAAGGACGAGACAGACCCCAGCUUCCAGCUCGCCCUAAACUUCGCCUGGUCCAACUUAAGCUAGAAUGCUGCAUCUCCGCACAGCUCCUGGCAGGUAGCACGAAAAGAAAGAUAAUUUUGACUUGGGAAAAUACUUGAUGGAAGGUGAAGAAAUGGACAUUGAUCCAGACAUGGACACACCAGUAAGUGACAGUAGUUUUGCUAUUAAAAAUUUAAAUACACACCAGGUGAUAGAGAUGAUUUUAAUGUGUCUUCCCACCUAGGUCAACUAAGCUAAAACAGGAACACUCUUAACUAAUCUAGAGUCAUUUAUUAUGGAAGUCUGGUUAGGAUUUUGCACCAAAUCACUAGGAUUAUCAAGUUACAAGGGGGUGGGCAUGGUGGCUCACACCUCUAAUCUCAGCACUUCAUUGAGAGGCUGAGGAAGGAGGAUUGCUUGAGCUUAGGAAUUUGAGACCAGCCUGGGUAACAUAGCAAGUUCUUAUGUCUAUUUUUUUAAAAUAGAAUUUAAAGAAAGAUGUUGUUUGGGCACAUUGGGCACACUGGCUCACACCUGUAAUCCCAGCACUUUGAGAGACCAAGGCAGGUAGAUCACUUGAGGCCAGAAGUUCGAGAGAAGCCUGGGCAAUAUAGUGAAACCCUAUCUAGUAAAAAUACAAAAAAUUAGCUGGGCAUGGUAGCACAUGCCUAUAAUCACAUCUGCUCGGGAGGCUCAGGCACGUGAAUAUCUUGAAGGUCAAGGUUGCAGUGAGCUGAGAUCAUGCCAUUGCACUUUGUUACCUGGGUGACAAAGUAAGAGACUAUCUCCAAAAAAGAAAAAAGAUAAGUUAAAAGGGUUGAGUAUAAGUAUCUCUUAAGAACCUGUGAUCUUGGGACUUUUUGCCACCAAAAAUAAUUCCAUUCCUUAUUGUUUCAAUGUUAUAGAAAAAAAUAAAAAGUAAUAAUUAUAUUUCCAUUCCUAUAAUAGGCACUUCCAAGAUAUUUAGAAAAAAAAAAUUCAUUUGGUUUUUUUUUUUCUGUUCCAUGUUGCUUCAAAAUUUUUGCUUUUCUUCAAAAUCUUCUUAGUCUUUUAAUAUAAAUAGCUUUAAGUGUUAUACUCUGUAAGGCUAAAGUGUAUUUCUUUUUUAAAUCAGAAUUGGUCUGAAGAAAGUGACGAGGAAAAUGAUCAAUAGCCAUUAAGCAGAGAGGACUCUGGAAUUCAGGUAGACAGGGCACCGUUAGAAGAACAAGAUCAAAACAGAAAACUGGGUCCUUGUGUCAGUUGGAAAGGUACUGUGUGUUGUGAGGUGCUGGCAUUUUCUAAUGGACAAAUUCCCUAGAAGAAAAGGCAAGCUCAAGAUCAGUUCCAUGGGAUCAAGGUAUCAGCUAAGUGGUAUCAUCUUUAUAAAAGCAAUUUUUAAAACUAUUAGUAAUCUUUUCUAUGUGAUGUUUAAGUAGUAGUACCAUAGAAUUAGUGUUGAAUUAAUGCAUGCAGAGUGUAAUUUUGUAAUUUUUUUCCU
rnacentral:lncRNA from 1 species